UGAAGCUGGAUUUGCGCCAGGAUUUGAACCGUAAAGGUUCGACGCAGGCGCCAAGCGCCAAGAACGUCGCGCGCAGCGCGGCGGCCCGAAGGGCGAGGACGUAGUCCGAGUCAUCCUGGCGCCCCAGCCA
rnacentral:sRNA from 1 species